CACAGUCACAACACCAGCAGUGCACCAGGACUCAGUCACAUUCAACAUAAAAGGAGGCUCCACUCAGAAGUCCUACCUACAGGAGCAAAGAUCAUCCCCCCCUGUCCUGAACUGGGCCCAGUUUUCUACUUCUAUGAUGUUAGCAGCUUCUCCUCUGAAACCUAACUGGCCAACAACCCAGCCUGGGGACAGAGACUCAGCCUCUACUCUAAGCAGUUACCAAGUUACCCGUCUGAAAGCAGACAACUUAUGGUCAGAAGGUCAACAGUGGCCUAACGCCACAUCACAAUAGCUACAUCCUUCACCUCACUUCAUAUUGUCACACAGGCAUUUGAUCACCUCCCGUCAGCACAAGAAAGGUACCAAAAGCCCUGCCCGGCACACAAUAAGCACCUAACGGGGAUCGGUCGAAGGAGUAAACUACUCUGUCCUGGGACUCUGUCUGUUAACACGAGUGUCAGAAGCAGCACCGAGAGUAGGACCGGGGUCCAGGCCAGGUUCUGUGCUGCGCACACGAGUGGAAAUCAGGGCGGCAAGCGUCCUCCGUUCGGUCACUGGUACCGCUUCCCGUCUGCUAAGCCUGGUGGUGGCGGUGCUGGUGUCUGCCCAGGAAAGCGAACCUUCCGAAAAGGAGUUCAGGAAGGUGAGCAACCAGAGGAAGACAGAAAGGGGAAAGUACGAACAUGGUCCCGCACUACCACAAGUUAUGCAGUCGAGUUUCCCGCAUUUGGGGAAGUCACAGGGCUCAGCACAUCCGAAGUACAACAGAGUAAGCCUCACCCUGGGAAAGCCACCUUCCUGGGUAGCUGGCUUCUCCCCUCGCAGGAGAAGAGGAAGGUAUUACUCUUCCAUGAAAUAAAGCAACCGAAGCCCUCAGAGGACAAAGUCGCUUGUGGCCAUGCUCUUUUCACCCAGCUCAUGGAGUCAAUCAAAGCAUCAACAGCAUUCAACUGAGCCUCUAAGACAAGGAUGAACAGAGCAGCACCAAGGAAAAAUGAUUACUUCCAUUGUCGUCCAGUAAAACAAAUGCUUUCCAUUCACAGGGGAGGUUUCAGGCACUGGCACAGCCACCACCAUCUUGAAGCUGACUUCUGCAGGGCCCACCUGGCCACUGGCAGGAGGUUGCACCUGUGUGUGUGAACAUUCAGUGAUCUUUAUUUGCUACUUCCAGCUACUGUCAAGACAGAUCACUUUGGCACACUGCAUACCUCUACAUAAGUAUCUACUUGGGACAUAUGCCAAACAGGCUUAAUGAUCCAUUUUCCAAUGGAGAAAAUGCAAAUAAAAAUAUACAAACACAAGGAAAAUAAAACAAUGCAUGUAAAGAUAUUUAA